GGCUUCGGGCACGAGGUGCCGGUUUGGAAGAAGGAGCUCUAGAUGGAGGGUUGCUGCUGGAGUUCUGGGUUUCUGGAUUGAGCGGCUUGUGUGUCCUAGGAUCGAUUCCUUGACUGAUGAGCUUCUUGCUCAGUUGCGAGCGUGCCGCAGAGUGCGCGCGCUUCUCUCACUACUCACUGGAGAUGGUCGAUGGAGCGAAGGAGAUG